rnacentral:rRNA from 1 species
ACUCAAAUGAAUAGACGGGGGCCCGCACAAGCAGCGGAGCGUGUGGAUUAAUUCGAUGCAACGCGAAGAACCUCACCCAGGCUUGACAUGCCCCUUACAGCCGGGGAAACCCGGCGGCCGCGAGGCGUGGGGCACAGGUGCUGCAUGGCUGUCGUCAGCUCGUGCCGUGAGGUGUUGGGUUAAGUCCCGCAACGAGCGCAACCCCCGUCCCUAGUUGCGUUAUCUAGGGAGACUGCCGGGCGAACCCCGGAGGAAGGUGGGGACGACGUCAAGUCCGCAUGGCCCUUACGUCUGGGGCUUCACACACGCUACAAUGACCGGUACAGUGGGCCGCGACGCCGCGAGGCGGGGCCAAUCCCCCAAAACCGGUCCCAGUACGGAUCGGAGGCUGCAACCCGCCUCCGUGAAGUCGGAGUUGCUAGUAACCGCGCGUCAGCACAGUGCGGUGAAUGCGUUCCCGGGCCUUGUACACACCGCCCGU